GGGGAUGCCAGGUCUCGACGGGAGAAGCUGGUUCCGGAUUGCGAGCCGAGAGGUACCGACCUCGAUAAAUCAGUACAAACAACAAGUGCCAAAAGCACAAACUACGCUACCCUCCCUCUCGCUGCAUAAGCGGGAUCGAAGUAGCUGACCUCCACAUUUGAGGUCACGUCUCCUGAGGCCGUCCUUCCGGCCGGAAUCAGUCAAGGCGUCAUAAAAGCCGGAAUGCUGCCAGGUGCGCCGUGAACCUGGCCUAAGAGGGCUUUCGGGCUCAAGCGGAUUGUCUGCGUAAAGUUUGGUCAGUUGACCUUUGCGCGGAUGAAAAUGAAUAACUGACUACGCUCGUAGAGAUCCGAGGGUCUAAUCUUUCGGACGCGGGUUCGACUCCCGCCAUCUCCACCU
rnacentral:tmRNA from 1 species